rnacentral:rRNA from 1 species
AAAGGAAGCACCGGCUAACUCCGUGCCAGCAGCCGCGGUAAAACGGAGGGUGCAAGCGUUGUUCGGAAUCACUGGGCGUAAAGCGCGUGUAAGCGGUUCGAUAAGUCGAGUGUGAAAGCCCGAGGCUCAACUUCGGAAGUGCAUUCGAAACUGUCAAGCUUGAGUACGGGAGAGGGAAGUGGAAUUCCUGGUGUAGAGGUGAAAUUCGUAGAUAUCAGGAGGAACACCGGUGGCGAAAGCGGCUUCCUGGACCGAUACUGACGCUGAGACGCGAAACCGUGGGGAGCAAACAGGAUUAAAUACCCGGGUAGUCCACGCCGU